AGCGUAUAUUAAAGUUGUUGCAGUUAAAAAGCUCGUAGUUGAAUUUCAGGGUUAGUAAGUUGGUCAUGCCUUUGGUAUGCACUGGCUUUACUGAUUCCUCCUUCUUGACGAACCGUGAUGUCAUUAAUUUGGUGUUGCGGGAAAUCAGGACUGUUACUUUGAAAAAAUUAGAGUGUUUAAAGCAGGCUAACGCUUGAAUACAUUAGCAUGGAAUAAUGAAAUAGGACGUUAAUCCUAUUUUGUUGGUUUCUAGGAUCGACGUAAUGAUUAAUAGGGAUAGUUGGGGGCAUUAGUAUUCAAUCGUCAGAGGUGAAAUUCUUGGAUUUAUUGAAGACUAACUACUGCGAAAGCAUUUGCCAAGGAUGUUUUCAUUAAUCAAGAACGAAAGUUAGGGGAUCGAAGACGAUCAGAUACCGUCGUAGUCUUAACCAUAAACUAUGCCGACUAGGGAUCGGAUGAUGUUAAUUCUUUAAUGACUC
rnacentral:rRNA from 1 species